ensembl:lncRNA
GGACGGGACCCGGCGUGAGGGGCGGGCCUGGACACCGUGAGAAGGAGCGUCUGCGACUGCCUAGACGGGACGGGCGUGGCGUAGGCGCGGGGUGUAACCUGAAAAAGCGGGACUUAGUGCGUCCCCGCUUGGGGGGGCCACUCCUAAGGGCACUACAGAGUCGUUCCAGACUGCGGGUGGGGUGAGCUCAGGCAGAGGAAUCACCAGAGUGGAAAGCAGGGACGUAGGUAUAAGAGAAGGACCUGUGGGUCAGAGGAAUGGGCGUGACCCAGGGGACAAGCAUGUGACAAGACCCGUGCAGAGGCGGGGCCACGGAGUAGCGUACGGGACGCAAAGUACGUAACAGGAAGAAGGGCCGUGACGUAGGCGGAGCGCCAGGGCGUACCUUGAACAUGCGCGGGCGACACGUAUGUGAGGGCGCGACAAAGCCCGUCCGGCUCGAAGGAGGGGUGGGCUCAGGCGUAGGACGGAGGCGGGGCCACGUUAGCGCGUAGGCGCGUGGCCGCGGCUGCAAGCCCAGAGCGAUGGCGGCAGAGGGGCAGCCAGGGCAGAGAACAGGUGCGGACCCAGAGAGCUGGUUCGGGUUCUGACGCAGUGAGCAAAUCCAAGGCAGGACUUACAGGGCUUUGUCUGGCAUUUGGGCCGGGCGACGACACAUGACGUAUUACGCGCGAUGACGUGUACGGCGUGAGGGGCGUGGCGAGGCGCGACCGGACGUGUUCAAGAUGGCUGCGCGCAUGAGUCUCUCCGGCCCGGAGUGGAGGGGUCCGCGCUCAGGGAAAUGUUUGGAUCUGGAGCGGCAAGAACCUACAAAAUAGAAACGUUUGUUGGUGUCUCUGAUUCUUUGUGGCAUGAGUUGAAAGCUACUGGUUGAGGCUGCUGGAAACUCGUUAUUAGCGUGAUUUCUUCUCAUUUCCGGGAAAUAUGCGAUAUCGAAGAUGGGUUCCUCGGAUCCUGCACGUUAUCUGGGGCCCGAUCGAGAUUUCAAGCUAAACAUGGUGGCGAUGAGUAGCCUGAGGGCCAUCCUGCAGGCCUCUCCAUGCAGGUCACUGUGGAGAAGAUUCCAGAUGUCCAGCUUCCUGCCGGCGAGGCCCUGCAGCCUCUACACGUGCACGUACAACUCCCGGAACCGGGCCUGUGAGUAGCUGCUGCCUUGGAGAGCGCAAAACGCUGUGUGCCUAACGGUCACGUGUGUGCUGUUUGUCCCCUGCUGUCAGCGGCGUCCCAGAGCGGGGUCGUGUGCCUUGAGGGCCGUGAGAACAGCUACUUGUUUCUCUAGUUGUCUCUCAAAUAAAUGUGGAAAGUUCUUUUUCCCCGGGGGUCUCGAGAUGUCAUCGCCAUGUGACAUUGUGUAAGUCGAAGGUGUGGUGCGGUGUGAUGAUUUGACACACGUGUGUUGCAAAACCGUCAUAAGGGUCGGAAAGUCCUCUUCUAGACGAAUUUUAACACGUUAAAAGGAUGUCAUGGGGAAAUAGGACAAGGGACCUGGCUCGGUUAAGUGUCUGGCUUCGGCUCAGGUCAUGAUCUCACUGUUCGUGCUCUGGGGUCGGGCUCUGUGCUGACAGCUAGCUCAGGGCCUGGAGCCUGCUUCAGUCUCUGUGUUUCCCUCUCUUUCUGCCCCUCCUCUGCUCAUGCUCUCUCUUUCUAUCUCUCAAAAAUAAAUAAAAAACAUUAAAAAAAAUUUUUUUAAACAAUGUCCAGUAGAU